AGAGUUUGAUUCUGGCUCAGAUUGAACGCUGGCGGCAUGGCUAAAACAUGCAAGUCGAACGCGAAAGGGGGCAACCCCAAGUAGAGUGGCGAAAGGGCGAGUAAUGCGUUUCUAAUGUACCUCAGACUCGGGGAUAGCUCACCGAAAGGUGAAUUAAUACUCGAUGAUACUGCCGGAUCGUAUGAUCUGGUUUUCAAAGGCUUGCUGGUCUGAGAUCAGGGAACGUCCUAUCAGGUAGUUGGUAAGGUAACGGCUUACCAAGCCUAAGACGGGUAGCGGGUGUGAGAGCACGGCCCGCCGCAUCGGGACUGAGACACUGCCCGGACUCCUACGGGAGGCUGCAGUAACGAAUAUUCCACAAUGCGCGAAAGCGUGAUGGAGCGAUGCCGCGUGCAGGAUGAAGCCCUUCGGGGUGUAAACUGCUGUCAGGGAUUACCAACACAAUGAGGAAUCCCAGAGGAAGAGGCGGCUAACUCUGUGCCAGCAGCCGCGGUAAUACAGAGGCCUCGAGCGUUAAUCGGAAUUACUGGGCUUAAAGGGUGCGUAGGCGGAGCGAUAAGUGCCUUGUGAAAUCCCAUGGCUCAACCAUGGAAUUGCUCGGUAGACUAUCGUUCUUGAGGUAGGUAGGGGUCACUGGAACUCUAGGUGGAGCGGUGAAAUGCGUAGAUAUCUAGAGGAACGCCGAUGGUGAAGACAGGUGACUGGGCCUAUUCUGACGCUGAUGCACGAAAGCGUGGGGAGCAAACGGGAUUAGAUACCCCGGUAGUCCACGCCCUAAACUAUGUGUACUGGAUCGCAGAGACUAAUACGUCAUUGUGGUCGAAGUAAAAACGUUAAGUACACCGCCUGGGGAGUACGGUCGCAAGGCUAAAACUCAAAGAAAUUGACGGGGGCUCACACAAGCGGUGGAGCAUGUGGCUUAAUUCGAAAUCAACGCGAAGAACCUUAUCCUGGGCUUGACAUGUAUGGAUUAGCAGGCGGAAACGUCUGUGAGGCUCUUUGAGUACAACAUACACAGGUGCUGCAUGGCUGUCGUCAGCUCGUGCUGUGAAGUGUCGGGUUAAGUCCCUUAACGAGCGAAACCCCUUUCGCUAGUUGCCACCAGGUAAUGCUGAGCACUCUAGCGAGACUGCCGGUGUCAAACCGGAGGAAGGUGGGGAUGACGUCAAGUCCUCAUGGCCUUUAUGCCCAGGGCUGCACACGUGCUACAAUGGUGCGGUACAAAGCGAAGCGAGACCGUAAGGUGGAGCAAAUCGCAUAAAACGCACCCCAGUUCAGAUUGAGGUCUGCAACUCGACCUCAUGAAGUUGGAAUCGCUAGUAAUCGCGGAUCAGCUACGCCGCGGUG
rnacentral:rRNA from 1 species